UGUUGCACUUACCACAAAGUCAAAAAAUUCAGUCGAUAAAUGCUGCUCCGCGUGGCCUUUGUGUGCGUGUGUGUGUUUGUGUGUGUGUGUGUGUGUUCG